AUUGAACGCUGGCGGCAGGCCUAACACAUGCAAGUCGAGCGGAUGACGGGAGCUUGCUCCUUGAUUCAGCGGCGGACGGGUGAGUAAUGCCUAGGAAUCUGCCUGGUAGUGGGGGACAACGUUUCGAAAGGAACGCUAAUACCGCAUACGUCCUACGGGAGAAAGCAGGGGACCUUCGGGCCUUGCGCUAUCCGAUGAGCCUAGGUCGGAUUAGCUAGUAGGUGAGGUAAUGGCUCACCUAGGCGACGAUCCGUAACUGGUCUGAGAGGAUGAUCAGUCACACUGGAACUGAGAGACGGGCCAGGCUCCUACGGGAGGCAGCAGUGGGGAAUAUUGGACAAUGGGCGAAAGCCUGAUCCAGCCAUGCCGCGUGUGUGAAGAAGGUCUUCGGAUUGUAAAGCACUUUAAGUUGGGAGGAAGGGCAGUAAGCUAAUACCUUGCUGUUUUGACGUUACCGACAGAAUAAGCACCGGCUAACUCUGUGCCAGCAGCCGCCGUAACAC
rnacentral:rRNA from 1 species